CACUGAUGUUGCACCUCCAGCAUUUCCCGGACGUGCCCGGGUACAUGUUUGCUAGUCUUUGUGGUACCAGAUACCACCGCAUUAAAACCUUGCAGUAUGCUUCCUCGGUCGUAAGGCUUUGCGAAGCCCGUUUUGUGACCUCCAAAGCUGUCAUCCAGUCUGCCCUGGGGAUCUGGAGACCCAGGUCCCUUUCCCACUGUGUCAUGUAUGAC